rnacentral:misc_RNA from 1 species
GAUGAAGAACGGAGCAAAAUGCGAUAAGUAAUGUGAAUUGCAGAAUUCAGUGAAUCAUCGAAUCUUUGAACGCACAUUGCGCCCGCUGGUAUUCCGGCGGGCAUGCCUGUUCGAGCGUCAUUUCAACCCUCAAGCCCCCGGGUUUGGUGUUGGGGAUCGGCUCUGCCCUUCUGGGCGGUGCCGCCCCCGAAAUACAUUGGCGGUCUCGCUGCAGCCUCCAUUGCGUAGUAGCUAACACCUCGCAACUGGAACGCGGCGCGGCCAUGCCGUAAAACCCCAACUUCUGAAUGUUGACCUCGGAUCAGGUAGGAAUACCCGCUGAACUUAAGCAUAUCAAUAAGCGGAGGA